UGUUUCGGCUAGGGGGUCAUCCCGACUUACCAACCCGAUGCAAACUACGAAUACCGAAGAAUGUUAUCACGGGAGACACACGGCGGGUGCUAACGUCCGUCGUGAAGAGGGAAACAACCCAGACCGCCAGCUAAGGUCCCAAAGUCAUGGUUAAGUGGGAAACGAUGUGGGAAGGCACAGACAGCCAGGAUGUUGGCUUAGAAGCAGCCAUCAUUUAAAGAAAGCGUAAUAGCUCACUGGUCGAGUCGGCCUGCGCGGAAGAUGUAACGGGGCUAAACCAUGCACCGAAGCUGCGGCAGCGACACUAUGUGUUGUUGGGUAGGGGAGCGUUCUGUAAGCCUGCGAAGGUGACCUGUGAGGGUUGCUGGAGGUAUCAGAAGUGCGAAUGCUGACAUAAGUAACGAUAAAGCGGGUGAAAAGCCCGCUCGCCGGAAGACCAAGGGUUCCUGUCCAACGUUAAUCGGGGCAGGGUGAGUCGACCCCUAAGGCGAGGCCGAAAGGCGUAGUCGAUGGGAAACAGGUUAAUAUUCCUGUACUUGGUGUUACUGCGAAGGGGGGACGGAGAAGGCUAUGUUAGCCGGGCGACGGUUGUCCCG
rnacentral:rRNA from 3 species